rnacentral:rRNA from 1 species
UACGUAGGCAGCGAGCGUUGUUCGGAAUUACUGGGCGUAAAGAGUGUGUAGGCGGUGUUCCCAGUCUGUUGUGAAAUCUCCCGGCUUAACUGGGAGGGUGCAGCGGAAACUAGAAUGCUAGAGGGUGGGAGAGGUAAGCGGAAUUCCUGGUGUAGCGGUGAAAUGCGUAGAUAUCAGGAGGAACACCUGUGGUGUAGACAGCUUACUGGACCACUUCUGACGCUCAGGUGCGAAAGCUAGGGGAGCGAACAGG